GGCGGCAGGGUAGUCUAGUGGUUAGAGUGUAGAGGCGGCAGGGUAGUCUAGUGGUUAGAGUGUAGAGGGGGCAGGGUAGCCUAGUGGUUAGAGUGUAGAGGCGGCAGGAUAGCCUAGUGGUUAGAGUGUAGAGGCGGCAGGGUAGCCUAGUGGUUAGAGUGUAGAGGCGGCAGGGUAGCCUAGUGGUUAGAGUGUAGAGGCGGCAGGUAGCCUAGUGGUUAGAGUGUAGAGGCGGCAGGGUAGCCUAGUGGUUAGAGUGUAGAGGCGGCAGGUAGCCUAGUGGUUAGAGUGUAGAGGCGGCAGGGUAGCCUAGUGGUUAGAGUGUAGAGGCGGCAGGGUAGCCUAGUGGUUAGAGUGUAGAGGAGGCAGGUAGCCUAGUGGUUAGAGUGUAGAGGCGGCAGGGUAGCCUAGUGGUUAGAGUGUAGAGGGGGCAGGGUAGCCUAGUGGUUAGAGUGUAGAGGCGGCAGGGUAGCCUAGUGGUUAGAGUGUAGAGGCGGCAGGGUAGCCUAGUGGUUAAAGUGUAGAGGCGGC
ensembl:lncRNA